GAUUUCUGGCUCGUUGCCCUAGCCCGCUUACUUCGGUGGGUGAGUGCUGGUGCAAUCUGCCAUCCUUCCAGAGAGCCGUGAGUACCAUUUACUUGGCCGCUCGCGUGCGAUCUGGAUCAUUUACUUUGAAAAAAUUAGAGUGUUUAAAGCAGGCUUACGCCUUGAAUACAUUAGCAUGGAAUAAUAACAUAGGACUUCGGUUCUAUUUUGUUGGUUUCUAGGACCUUAGUAAUGAUUGAUAGGGAUAGUUGGGGGUGCUAGUAUUCGGCGGCCAGAGGUGAAAUUCUUGGAUUCGCUGAAGACUAACUACUGCGAAAGCAUU
rnacentral:rRNA from 1 species